AACGAACGUUGGCGGCGUGCCUAACACAUGCAAGUCGAGCGGGCGCAGCAAUGCGUUUAGCGGCGUACGGGUGAGUAACACGUGAGUAACCUGCCCCCGGGAUGGGGAUAACGGUCCGAAAGGACUGCUAAUACCCGAUGACCUCUUUCGAGCGAUGGCUUGAGAGGGCAAAGUUGAGGCGCCCGGGGAUGGGCUCGCGUCCCAUUAGGUAGUUGGUGAGGUAAUGGCUCACCAAGCCUGAGAUGGGUAGCUGGUCUGAGAGGAUGGCCAGCCACACUGGAACUGAGACACGGUCCAGACUCCUACGGGAGGCAGCAGUGGGGAAUAUUGGACAAUGGGCGCAAGCCUGAUCCAGCAAUGCCGCGUGUGUGAAGAAGGCCUUCGGGUUGUAAAGCACUUUAGCCUGGAAAGAAAAAACUUUGGUUAACACCCAAAGUCUUGACGGUACCAGGAGAAUAAGCACCGGCUAACUCUGUGCCAGCCGCCGCAGUAAGAC
rnacentral:rRNA from 1 species